GGAUGUGAAGGCAAUCUGGCUGUGACAUCUGUCACUCCCUGGAUCGCCAGGGUUGAUUUGGCAGAUUCGGCUGGCUAGGUGGCUGUCGCCUCCUCCCUUCCUCACCACUCCAUCUGCAUCGCUUCCAAAGCUGCACACUUGGUCAAAGUGGGUGACCUUCCCGAUACACAAGGACCAUUUUUGGUCUAGGGUAUAUGAGUCCUUGUGUUCCCCCAUCCAAACCUCCAAGCAAGCUCUGAAGGAGCCCCUCUCAGUGGCAGCAGAGAGUUAGCAGUUAACAACAUGAGUUCUGGGUUCAGAUCCUACAGCACCUCUGACUGGUGACGUUG
ensembl:misc_RNA 7SK 7SK RNA